UACGUAGGGUGCGAGCGUUAAUCGGAAUUACUGGGCGUAAAGUGUGCGCAGGCGGCCGCGCAAGUCGAGUGUGAAAGCCCCGGGCUUAACUUGGGAAUUGCGCUCGAAACUACGUGGCUGGAGUAUGGCAGAGGAAGGUGGAAUUCCACGUGUAGCGGUGAAAUGCGUAGAGAUGCGGAGGAACACCAGUGGCGAAAGCGACUUCUGGUCCUUAACUGACGCUGAGGCGCGAAAGCAUGGGGAGCGAACGGG
rnacentral:rRNA from 1 species